rnacentral:rRNA from 1 species
UACAGAGGGGGCAAGCGUUGUUCGGAAUUACUGGGCGUAAAGGGCGCGUAGGCGGCCUUCUAAGUCGAACGUGAAAUCUCCGGGCUCAACCCGGAAACUGCCAUUGAUACUAUUUAUCUUGAAUUCUGUUGAGGUGGGCGGAAUACAUCAUGUAGCGGUGAAAUGCUUAGAUAUGAUGUAGAACACCGAUUGCGAAGGCAGCUCACUAACCAGACAUUGACGCUGAGGCACGAAAGCGUGGGGAUCAAACAGG